rnacentral:lncRNA from 1 species
GCAGUGUUGGUCUGCAAGCUUCAAGAGCCAGUGACCCUGACUGCCAAGUGAUUUGCCGAAGGGAAUUAUGGUUUUGCAUUUGAUGGUUUCCAGGAACUGCUAAGAGUGAGAUCAUCCCUGAAGCAGUGACUGCCAGAGGAAGGCGAGAGACAUAUGGUGGCCUUACAGCCAUGUGAAGUGCCUCACUCCCUGUUCACCUUCCACCAUGAUUUUAAGUUCUGUGAGGCCUCCCUAGAAGCUGAU